rnacentral:rRNA from 1 species
GCAGUAGAACGCUGAAGUCUGGUGCUUGCACUAGACGGAUGAGUUGCGAACGGGUGAGUAACGCGUAGGUAACCUGCCUCAUAGCGGGGGAUGACUAUUGGAAACGAUAGCUAAUACCGCAUAACAGUAUUUACCGCAUGGUAGAUGCUUGAAAGGAGCAACUGCUUCACUAUGAGAUGGACCUGCGUUGUAUUAGCUAGUUGGUGAGGUAACGGCUCACCAAGGCUUCGAUACAUAGCCGACCUGAGAAGGUGAUCGGCCACACUGGGACUGAGACACGGCCCAGACUCCUACGGGAGGCAGCAGUAGGGAAUCUUCGGCAAUGGGGGCAACCCUGACCGAGCAACGCCGCGUGAGUGAAGAAGGUUUUCGGAUCGUAAAGCUCUGUUGUAAGAGAAGAACUGUGAGAAGAGUGGAAAGUUUCUCACUUGACGGUAUCUUACCAGAAAGGGACGGCUAACUACGUGCCAGCAGCCGCGGUAAUACGUAGGUCCCGAGCGUUGUCCGGAUUUAUUGGGCGUAAAGCGAGCGCAGGCGGUUUGAUAAGUCUGAAGUAAAAGGCUGUGGCUUAACCAUAGUACGCUUUGGAAACUGUCAAACUUGAGUGCAAAAGGGGAGAGUGGAAUUCCAUGUGUAGCGGUGAAAUGCGUAGAUAUAUGGAGGAACACCGGUGGCGAAAGCGGCUCUCUGGUCUGUAACUGACGC